rnacentral:rRNA from 1 species
ACAGAGGUGACAAGCGUUGUUCGGAAUUACUGGGCGUAAAGAGUGUGUAGGCGGUUCUCUAAGUUCCGUGUGAAAUCUCCCGGCUCAACUGGGAGGGUGCGCGGGAAACUGGAGGGCUUGAGUAUGGGAGAGGAAAGCGGAAUUCCUGGUGUAGCGGUGAAAUGCGUAGAUAUCAGGAGGAACACCUGCGGUGUAGACGGCUUUCUGGACCAUCACUGACGCUGAGACACGAAAGCGUGGGUAGCAAACAGGA